rnacentral:rRNA from 1 species
GCAGUCGAGCGGACAGAAGUGGAGCUUGCUCCCGGAUGUUAGCGGCGGACGGGUGAGUAACACGUGGGUAACCUGCCUGUAAGACUGGGAUAACUCCGGGAAACCGGAGCUAAUACCGGAUAGUUCCUUGAACCGCAUGGUUCAAGGAUGAAAGACGGUUUCGGCUGUCACUUACAGAUGGACCCGCGGCGCAUUAGCUAGUUGGUGAGGUAACGGCUCACCAAGGCGACGAUGCGUAGCCGACCUGAGAGGGUGAUCGGCCACACUGGGACUGAGACACGGCCCAGACUCCUACGGGAGGCAGCAGUAGGGAAUCUUCCGCAAUGGACGAAAGUCUGACGGAGCAACGCCGCGUGAGUGAUGAAGGUUUUCGGAUCGUAAAGCUCUGUUGUUAGGGAAGAACAAGUGCAAGAGUAACUGCUUGCACCUUGACGGUACCUAACCAGAAAGCCACGGCUAACUACGUGCCAGCAGCCGCGGUAAUACGUAGGUGGCAAGCGUUGUCCGGAAUUAUUGGGCGUAAAGGGCUCGCAGGCGGUUUCUUAAGUCUGAUGUGAAAGCCCCCGGCUCAACCGGGGAGGGUCAUUGGAAACUGGGA